rnacentral:rRNA from 1 species
UACGUAGGGAGCAAGCGUUGUCCGGAAUCAUUGGGCGUAAAGCGCGCGUAGGUGGCCAUUUAAGUCCGCUGUGAAAGUCAAAGGCUCAACCUUUGAAAGCCGGUGGAUACUGGAUGGCUAGAGUACGGAAGAGGACAGCGGAACUGCGAGUGUAGAGGUGAAAUUCGUAGAUAUUCGCAAGAACACCAAGGCGAGGACGCGAGUGUCCUGGGACGUCUGACGCUGCGGUGCGAAAAGCGAGGGGAGCAGAACGAGUA